rnacentral:rRNA from 1 species
GAUUAACGCUGGCGGCGUGCAUAACACAUGCAAGUCGAACGAAGUGGUGGACGGGUGAGUAACGCGUGAGUAACCUUCCUUAGAGCAGGGGAUAGCCUUUGGAACCGAAGAAUAAUAUCCUAUACUCUAAGAUAGACUUGCGUGUUAUUAGAUAGUUGGUGAGGUAACGGCCCACUAAGACAGCGAUCAGUAGCCGGCUUGAGAGAGUUGACGACCACAUUGGGAGGGAGACACGGCCCAGAGUCUACGGGAGGCAGCAGUGGGGGAUGUUGCACAACGGGUAAGACCCUGAUUCAGCGGCGCCGAAGGAUUUAUAAGGCCUAUGGGUUGUAAAAAUCUUUUCUAUGGGAAGCAGUACCAUAGGAAUAAGGAGCGUCAAAUUACGUGCGAGGAGCCGCUAAUAC